GCCAGGACACGCGACCCGAGAAAGCGUCGAUUCAACCAAACAAAAACCAAGUGCCAAGUGCCGUGUGAAGAGGCCACAACCAACUAACUAACUAACUGCCUCCAGAAACUGUGCGAUUCAAACUAAGCCAAAAAUAAAUAUUAAAAGUUGCCAGUGCAUCAGUGCCCGGGAAAAGGACUUAAUGCAAACAGCAGGCGAAGUGAAUAAACCAUAAACAAAACCCCCGAAAAUAAACCAAAAGCAAGGCAAAAGCGAAAUUUAAGCGUCUGUGCAUAUUAAUCAGAACGAAAAACGUGAACAGGAUCAAGUCCUAGACAACUUAUCACAGGGGAUUUACGCAGACAGACAAACGCAGGACACGAAUGCGAGUGUAGAGCAAAAGGCAGCGCUAAUCAACGACCAAACCAGACGACAUCCUUACCGACUGGCCACGCCCACAACUCCCCCUCGAGUAGGAGAAAAAAGGCCACCAGGAGCUUGAGAGGAGAAGAGCAGGAGCCGCCUCAUUUGGCCACUGCGGAUUAUGUUAAUUAGAUUUUAAGCACGCGAUGACAACAACGCCGGGGGAGCACUUGGCAUUGUAAUGUGACAACAGUUGGCUAAGGACAACAAGACCAUACCAAAAGCGGGCCAUCAGGAGUAGCUGGAAUGCUCGCUUUUUAAUUGACAUUUGCUCGAGUUGAGUUGCGUUUUGUUCAACAGCAAUUAGCAUCGUGAAAAAAAAAUAAAUUAAAACAGAAAAAACGCACAGCAAAACACAAAGCAGCGCAAUUAAAAUUGUAAAACAAUUGCAGAACGCUGAAUUGAAAAGGGGAAACAAUAACAGACGACGACGACCCGGAAUAGAAUGAUCAAGUUGAUUUAAUUAAAAAUUCAGCAUCACCCCCAGCAUCCGUGUGCAAUGGCAUUUGAGCACGCUGCUUGAGCAAUGGCCGCCGGACCGGAAACGCAGCCAUUGCCCUCGGGCAACAUCCGCCUCUGACUGCCGCCGAC
rnacentral:sRNA from 1 species